GCCGCUGUAGCUCAGUUGGUAGAGCAACUCACUUGUAAUGAGUAGGUCACCGGUUCAAAUCCGGUCAGCGGCUCCA
rnacentral:tRNA from 2 species